rnacentral:rRNA from 1 species
UAGUCCACGCCGUAAACGAUGUCAACUAGAUGUAGGGGGUGUUGAUCCCCUCUGUGUCGCAGCUAACGCAUUAAGUUGACCGCCUGGGGAGUACGGUCGCAAGAUUAAAACUCAAAGGAAUCGACGGGGGCCCGCACAAGCGGUGGAGUAUGUGGUUUAAUUCGAUGCAACGCGAAGAACCUUACCUGGUCUUGACAUCUCAAGGAUCUCCUGGAAACAGGAGAGUGCUUUUCUUUCGAGAGAACUUGAAGACAGGUGCUGCAUGGCUGUCGUCAGCUCGUGUCGUGAGAUGUUGGGUUAAGUCCCGCAACGAGCGCAACCCUCGCCAUUAGUUGCCAUCAUUUAGUUGGGCACUCUAAUGGGACUGCCGGUGUCAAACCGGAGGAAGGUGGGGAUGACGUCAAGUCCUCAUGGCCUUUAUGACCAGGGCUACACACGUACUACAAUGGCCGAUACGAAAGGGCAGCCACAGGGCAAUCUGGAGCGAAACUCCCUUAAAGUCGGUCUCAGUCC